AUUGAACGCUGGCGGCAUGCUUUACACAUGCAAGUCGAACGGCAGCGCGGGCUUCGGCCUGGCGGCGAGUGGCGAACGGGUGAGUAAUGCAUCGGAACGUGCCCAGUAGUGGGGGAUAGCCCGGCGAAAGCCGGAUUAAUACCGCAUACGACCUGAGGGUGAAAGCGGGGGACCGAAAGGCCUCGCGCUAUUUGAUCGGCCGAUGUCGGAUUAGCUAGUUGGUGGGGUAAAGGCUUACCAAGGCGACGAUCCGUAGCUGGUCUGAGAGGACGACCAGCCACACUGGGACUGAGACACGGCCCAGACUCCUACGGGAGGCAGCAGUGGGGAAUUUUGGACAAUGGGGGCAACCCUGAUCCAGCCAUGCCGCGUGCGGGAAGAAGGCCUUCGGGUUGUAAACCGCUUUUGUUCGGGAAGAAAUCCUCUGGGCUAAUACCCCGGGGGGAUGACGGUACCGGAAGAAUAAGCACCGGCUAACUACGUG
rnacentral:rRNA from 1 species